GGCUGGUCUGAAGAUAGUGAGUUAUCCCAAUUAAUUGUUCGACCACUUACAGACUUAGUUCCUUGUUCUACACUUCCUCCCCUUUUCACUACUGCACUCAACUAGUCUUAA
rnacentral:Y_RNA from 1 species